CCUACGGGAGGCAGCAGUGGGGAAUUUUGGACAAUGGGCGCAAGCCUGAUCCAGCAAUGCCGCGUGCAGGAUGAAGGCCUUCGGGUUGUAAACUGCUUUUGUACGGAACGAAACGGUGAGCUCUAAUACAGUUUGCUAAUGACGGUACCGUAAGAAUAAGCACCGGCUAACUACGUGCCAGCAGCCGCGGUAAUACGUAGGGUGCGAGCGUUAAUCGGAAUUACUGGGCAUAAAGCGUGCGCAGGCGGUGAUGUAAGACAGAUGUGAAAUGCCCGGGCUCAGCCUGGGACCUGCAUUUGUGACUGCAUCGCUAGAGUACGGUAGAGGGGGAUGGAAUUCCGCGUGUAGCAGUGAAAUGCGUAGAUAUGCGGAGGAACACCGAUGGCGAAGGCAAUCCCCUGGACCUGUACUGACGCUCAUGCACGAAAGCGUGGGGAGCAAACAGGAUUAGAUACCCUGGUAGUCCACGCCCUAAACGAUGUCAACUGGUUGUUGGGUCUUCACUGACUCAGUAACGAAGCUAACGCGUGAAGUUGACCGCCUGGGGAGUACGGCCGCAAGGUUGAAACUCAAAGGA
rnacentral:rRNA from 1 species